UGGGAAGUCCUUGUGUUGCAUUCCC
rnacentral:rRNA from 10 species